rnacentral:rRNA from 1 species
AUGAAAAUCCUAGCCUGGAACUACCGGGGCCUUGGGAACGCACCGGCAGUACGUGCUUUGUUGGAUGUCCAACGAAGCUGCAACCCCGAGGUGAUGUUCUUGUCGGAGACGCACCUUGAUAGCUAUCCGGCAGAAUGCUUGCGAAAGAGAUUGAAGAUGGACCAAAAACUAGUUUUUCCAAGCAACGGUAGAAGUGGAGGACUAGUUCUUUUCUGGAAUAAUAAUGUCAAUGUUCAGAGAAUCUCUCUAGACCCCAUGUUCAUUGAUGUUAAUAUAGUUGAUAAUAAUAACAAUAAUUCUGGUUGGCGGUUGACUGGGAUGUAUGGAGAGUUCAGGUGGGAGAACAAACAUUUAACUUGGUCGCGUAUGAGGCAGCUACACCAAGCGCAGAAUUUACCAUGGCUCCUGGUGGGUGAUCUCAAUGAGAUUAUGUACUUACAUGAGAAGGAGGGUGGCAACCCACGACCACCUCAAUAUAUGCAAGCGUUCCAGGAUAUUGUGGAAGAAUGCGCAUUACACGAUCUGGGCUACAUAGGUGACCAUUUCACUUGGCGUCGAGGAAGAAUUCGUGAAAGGCUUGAUAGAGGAUUGGUAAAUGAUCUGUGGACCUCCCAAUUCCCUCAUGCGGCAUUGCAGAAUCUGGAGUUCAAUCACUCGGAUCAUAGACCCCUUCUGGUGGACACUGAGUUCUAUGUACAGGAACCAAAUGGUCAGAAUGCAAACGUCAAAAGAUUUGAAGCUAGAUGGCUGAGAGAGAAGCUUUUCAAUGAGAAGGUGAUGGAAGCCUAG